GCGAGGUGCUGAGGAGGAAAAUACAAAUAAAUGGCGCUGUGCGCCGUGCCAUAGUUGACAAGCUCUUUGGCGCAUACAUCAAGAUCGCAUGGAAUCAUGGGUGAUGGCCCUGAGGAACAAGUUCCAACAACACAAGAAAAAAAGCUACAAAACUGUUCGGAGGAAAUGCUAAUUCGAAAGAAACGCUGUCUGCCAAAGCAAAUGCAGGCACCAUCUGAAGAAGUGGCAAACAACAAAUUGUGCCGUCUUUUUGACUGCAGCCAUCUUACUACAUAUGGAGAAACCGUUGAGUCCUUGCAAAUUCAUAACGAAAGGCUCCAGAAUAAUGCAGCCUGCCACGAUGAAGCUACAGGAAGGCCAAGGUUGCGGGCAACAGCACUGGACAGGCAUAGGAGCUUCGCAGCCUCACCCUGUUGGAUGCUCUUUUACUGUUUCCGUUUCUUGGAACUGAGGCAUUGGAACAAGCCCUGCUCACACCUUGCCUUGUGGAGAAAGAAGGACUUACUCUACACAUUGACGGGGAGCCCGUUUUGAGUGUGCCAUCACUUCUUGCAGGAAUGGCGUGCCUGUUUGCAUCGUUUUGGGUAUUCCAUGUGGAAUACCCAAAAAAAGGCACACAAAAUGCUCACAUUCCUUGAGCACGCGUUCCUACACCUUUCACACGUGAAGCCGAGUGUCAAAGCUCUGGAACUUAUAAAUUUUUUUUAAUGAGUAACAUUAAUUUAGUUUCACAAUUGUAGUUUUGUAGUUUUCUUCAAGUACAUUGUGCAAGCUGGCAUUUUGGACUUCUGUGCCUUGAGAAGAGGUGAAAAAAAAAAUGU
rnacentral:misc_RNA from 1 species